rnacentral:rRNA from 1 species
GACGAACGCUGGCGGCGGGCUUAACACAUGCAAGUCGAACGGAAAGGCCCUGCUUUUGUGGGGUGCUCGAGUGGCGAACGGGUGAGUAACACGUGAGUAACCUGCCCUUGACUUUGGGAUAACUUCAGGAAACUGGGGCUAAUACCGGAUAGGAGCUCCUGCUGCAUGGUGGGGGUUGGAAAGUUUCGGCGGUUGGGGAUGGACUCGCGGCUUAUCAGCUUGUUGGUGGGGUAGUGGCUUACCAAGGCUUUGACGGGUAGCCGGCCUGAGAGGGUGACCGGCCACAUUGGGACUGAGAUACGGCCCAGACUCCUACGGGAGGCAGCAGUGGGGAAUAUUGCACAAUGGGCGGAAGCCUGAUGCAGCAACGCCGCGUGCGGGAUGACGGCCUUCGGGUUGUAAACCGCUUUCGCCUGUGACGAAGCGUGGGUGACGGUAAUGGGUAAAGAAGCACCGGCUAACUACGUG